GAGCUACCGUGGCCGUGAGGUUACGGUUUUCGCAUUGUAAGCGAAAGGUGAUGGGUUCGAUUUCAGUCUGGCUCG
rnacentral:tRNA from 1 species